UACGUAGGGGGCAAGCGUUAUCCGGAAUCACUGGGUGUAAAGGGUGCGUAGGCGGUUAUGCAAGUCAGAUGUGAAAUGUCGAGGCUCAACUUCGGAACUGCAUUUGAAACUGCGUGACUAGAGUACAGGAGAGGUAAGUGGAAUUCCUAGUGUAGCGGUGAAAUGCGUAGAUAUUAGGAAGAACACCAGUGGCGAAGGCGACUUACUGGACUGAAACUGACGCUGAGGCACGAAAGCGUGGGGAGCAAACAGG
rnacentral:rRNA from 1 species